CAAGGGCAUGGCUGGUUGGCUACGUUCGGGAGGGAUAACCGCUGAAAGCAUCUAAGCGGGAAGCCUGCUUCGAGAUGAGUAUUCCCACCUCCUUGAGAGGGUAAGGCUCCCAGUAGACGACUGGGUUGAUAGGCCAGAUAUGGAAGCCUGGUAACGGGUGGAGUUGACUGGUACUAAUAGGCCGAGGGCUUGUCCUCAGUUG
rnacentral:rRNA from 1 species